rnacentral:rRNA from 1 species
AGUGAACGCUGGCGGUAGGCCUAACACAUGCAAGUCGAACGGCAGCACAGGAGAGCUUUCUAUCUGGGUGGCGAGUGGCGGACGGGUGAGGAAUACACCGGAAUCUACCUUUUCGUGGGGGAUAACGUAGGGAAACUUCCGCUAAUACCGCAUACGAACUACGGGUGAAAGGGGGGGAGCGCAAGGCCUUACGCGAUUAGAUGAGCCGAUGUCCGGUUCGCUAGUUGGCGGGGUAAAGGCCCACCAAGGCGACGAUCGGUAGCUGGUCUGAGAGGAUGAUCAGGCACACUGGAACUGAGAGACGGUCCAGGCUCCUACGGGGGGCAGCAGUGGGGAAUAUUGGACAAUGGGCGCAAGCCUGAUCCAGCCAUACCGGGUGGGUGAAGAAGGCCUUCGGGUUGUAAAGCCCUUUUGUUGGGAAAGAAAUCCUGUCGAUUAAUACUCGGUGGGGAUGACGGUGCCCAAAGAAUAAGCACCGGCUAACUUCGUGCCAGCCGCCGCCGUAAAAC